rnacentral:rRNA from 1 species
AUACCAGCCCCGCGAGUGGUCGGGACGGUUAUUGGGCCUAAAGCGCCCGUAGCCGGCCUGGUAAGUCCCCGCGGAAAUCCUCGGGCUCAACCCGAGGACCUGCGGGGAUACUGCCAGGCUAGGGGGCGGGAGAGGCCGGGGGUACUGCCGGGGUAGGGGCGAAAUCCUAUAAUCCCGGCAGGACCGCCAGUGGCGAAGGCGCCCGGCUGGAACGCGCCCGACGGUGAGGGGCGAAAGCCGGGGGAGCGAACCGGAUUAGAUACCCUAGUAGUCC